GCCCCCGCAAGGAGGAACGUGUCACUGGCAUGUUCCUGGGAGUUAACGGCUCUCCGGCCCCA
rfam:Mosquito flavivirus gene for polyprotein, complete cds, strain: YDFV/Oct/2013